GCGAUGANCGGCAAGAGCCCAAAUUUGAAAUCGGGCAACCGAGUUGUAAUUUGGAGACGGGACACUAGAGAGGAGGAAGGCGAUUAAGUGCCUUGGAACAGGCUGCCGUAGAGGGUGAGAGCCCCGUGAAUCGCUGGAGACCGAUCAAUUAGUGCCCGCCGAAGAGUCGAGUUGUUUGGGAAUGCAGCUCUAAGUGGGUGGUAUAUUCCAUCUAAGGCUAAAUAUUAGCGAGAGACCGAUAGCAAACAAGUACAGUGAUGGAAAGAUGAAAAGAACUUUGGAAAGAGAGUGAAAUAGUACGUGAAAUUGUUGAAAGGGAAGGGUAUUUGAUCCGACAUGGUGUUUAGCAGCGGCCCGUUCCUCGUGGAUGGGUGCACCUGGUUUACACUGGGCCAGCAUCGGUUCUGGGAGCCAUAUACGGGGUUCGUGAAUGUGGCCCUUCGAUUCUGUCGGAGGGUGUUAUAGCGCGGACAUCUUGUGGCUAGCCGGGACCGGGGACUGCGGUGACUUGUCACCAAGGAUGCUGGCAGAACGAGCCACCCGUCUUGAAACA
rnacentral:rRNA from 1 species